rnacentral:lncRNA from 1 species
GUGCUUCGGCAAGACCCUCUGACGCUCAAGUCAGUACUCUGCCUCAAUAGAAAUAGAGCACUCGAAUGGGAUUUUAACAGAGUUUUGAGAUAGUGUUUAGAGCUUAGGGGAGAAUGUAUCUGAGGGGUCUCUUUUAUAGACGGGAGAGCAUAACCGAUUGACAACGACGUCCACAACUGCCUGAUAGUGGGCGGUUCGGGGCCACGUGGAGUUUGUUACGGAGAGUAGUGGUGUCUGUUGUCACGACCUGUCGGAGAGUGGUGGGGCCAUGUGGAGUUUGUUACAGGGAGUGGAGUGGUGUCCAUUGUCGCGACUUGCCGAGGAGUUCG